UACGUAGGGGGCAAGCGUUGUCCGGAUUUAUUGGGCGUAAAGAGCGUGUAGGCGGCCUGAAAGGUCAGCUGUGAAAACUCGAGGCUCAACCUCGAGACGUCGGUUGAAACCAUCUGGCUAGAGUCCGGAAGAGGAGAGUGGAAUUCCCGGUGUAGCGGUGAAAUGCGCAGAUAUCGGGAAGAACACCCGUGGCGAACGGCGGCUCUCUGGGACGGUACUGAGCGCUGACGGUGCGAAAGCGUGGGGA
rnacentral:rRNA from 1 species